rnacentral:rRNA from 1 species
UACGUAGGGUGCGAGCGUUGUCCGGAAUUAUUGGGCGUAAAGGGCUCGUAGGCGGUUUGUCGCGUCGGGAGUGAAAACCUGGGCUUAACUCAUGGCUUGCUUCCGAUACGGGCAGACUAGAGGUAUGCAGGGGAGAACGGAAAUUCCUGGUGUAGCGGUGGAAUGCGCAGAUAUCAGGAGGAACACCGGUGGCGAAGGCGGGUCUCUGGGCAGUAACUGACGCUGGAGGAGCGAAAGCGUGGGGAGCGAACAGG